GUCUCUUCGGGGAUGAUUAAACCGGCGCACGGGUGAGUAACACGUGAGUGACCUGCCUUUUAGACUGGAACAACUUACCGAAAGGUGAGCUAAUACCGGAUGAGUUAUAUAAGUGCGUGUUUAUAUAGGAAAAGUUGGGGAGACCUGACGCUGAAAGAUGGACUCGCGUCCCAUUAGCUAGUUGGUAGGGUAAUGGCCUACCAAGGCGACGAUGGGUAGCCGGCCUGAGAGGGUGGCCGGCCACACUGGGACUGAGACACGGCCCAGACUCCUACGGGAGGCAGCAGUGGGGAAUUUUGCGCAAUGCUCGUAAGAGUGACGCAGCGACGCCGCGUGAAUGACGAAGGCCUUCGGGUCGUAAAGUUCUUUCGACAGGGAAGAAAAUGCCUAUAAGUAACUGUGUAUGUAUUGACGGUACCUGUAUAAGCAGCCCCGGCUAACUCCGUGCCAGCAGCCGCGGUAAUACGGAGGGGGCGAGCGUUGUUCGGAGUGACUGGGCGUAAAGAGCACGUAGGCGGUGUUGUAAGUCAUUAGUCAAAGACUAGAGCUCAACUUUAGUAAGGCUAGUGAUACUAUAAUACUAGAGUAUCAGAGAGGAUUGCAGAAUUCCUGGUGUAGCGGUGAAAUGCGUAGAUAUCAGGAGGAAUACCGUUAGCGAAGGCGGCAAUCUGGCUGGAAACUGACGCUGAGGUGCGAAAGCGUGGGUAGCAAACAGGAUUAGAUACCCUGGUAGUCCACGCUGUAAACGAUGGAUGCUAGGUGUUGGGCUUUUAAGUUCAGUGCCGCAGCAAACGCGA
rnacentral:rRNA from 1 species